AUUGAACGCUGGCGGUAGGCCUAACACAUGCAAGUCGAACGAGUGGCGGACGGGUGAGUAAUGUCUGGGAAACUGCCUGAUGGAGGGGGAUAACUACUGGAAACGGUAGCUAAUACCGCAUACCAUCGGAUGUGCCCAGAUGGGAUUAGCUAGUAGGUGGGGUAAAGGCUCACCCAGGCGACGAUCCCUAGCUGGUCUGCGAGGGUGACCAGCAACACGGGAACUGAGACACGGUCCAGACUCCUACGGGAGGGAGCAGUGGGGAAUAGUGCAACAUGGGCGCAAGCCUGAUGCAACUAUGCCGCGUGUAUGAAUAAGGACUGCGGGUUGUAAAGUACUUUCGGCGGGGAGGCGUUACCCGCAGGGGGAGCACCGGCUAACUCCGUGCCAGCAGCCGCGGUAAUUC
rnacentral:rRNA from 1 species